UACGUAGGGUGCGAGCGUUGUCCGGAAUUACUGGGCGUAAAGAGCUCGUAGGUGGUUUGUCGCGUUGUUCGUGAAAACUCACAGCUUAACUGUGGGCGUGCGGGCGAUACGGGCAGACUGGAGUACUGCAGGGGAGACUGGAAUUCCUGGUGUAGCGGUGGAAUGCGCAGAUAUCAGGAGGAACACCGGUGGCGAAGGCGGUUCUCUGGGCAUUACCUGACGCUGAGGAGCGAAAGCGUGGGGAGCAAACAGG
rnacentral:rRNA from 1 species